rnacentral:lncRNA from 1 species
AUCUUUUUAAACUGUAUUUAUAUUUUGAGUAUAUCUUGGUUGUAUUGACUCUAUGUUAUUAUGGAUUUUAACUUUUAAAAUGGCACAUAUCAAGCCUGCUAUUCCUAACCUCUUCUCUCUCCUCCUCCCCAGGUUCCUGUGGUCCUCUCAUUAGCCAUACUGCAGCCAGGGAAAUGACAGCCACAGAAGUACUGAAGAUUGGUUCAUUUUCCUGAGACUGGGAUGUGAAUAUGACCUACAGCUGCCCUCAAUUUCAGUGUCACAGAAAAAAAAAUUAACCCUUCCUGAACUCUCCACAGACCUGACUGGUAGGUGUAUGAGUUUCUUUCAUUGUCAUGUUCAUCACAGCACAUCGUAGUGAAUGUAGAUG